GUUGGCGGACUUGAGGAGGAGCAAAGAUGGCGGAGUGAGGUUCGUCGAGGCCCCCUGGCCUUUGGGCCAGGGGGAGGGCCGGACCCCGGGCGCUCGAGUGCUUCUGCUGGCCCGUGCGAGGAAGAACAUUUUCCUUGACUUGUAGGUGCUUUUAUAUUCAUCUCAAAAAGAAAACAAAAUUCUGAACUCAGGAUUUGGCAAGUUUUGAAUCAGAACUGUCUCGUCUUCAACCAGAAGAGGUUAUUCAAGAUAUUUGCAGUUUAACAAGUGUGAUGUUUAACAGCAGUGAACUGCUAAUGUUUUUACAUGCUUGCAUUUGGCGAUCAUGCUACAGUAUUUCUAUGUUGUCUCCUGGAGUGGGGUUGUCCUGCUUCUUUUAUCGGGCCACCUUCCCUAUUCUUGAAAUGUGGAUAUCUCUUCUCUAAACUUUACCUCCAUGAUUUGGACUGGAAAAGGCUGCUCUUCUUUUUGUUCCACCUCUCAGAUUCAAAGAAGAGAAGCCCCUGGGAUGCAGUCAUCCUGCUAACUUCUCUAGGAAGAAAGAAGCAACAGAUAUACAUCUUCUGCUGCAAUUUGCUUAAUCACAAAUAAUUUUACAAGCUGAAGGCUGAUAUCAUUUGAAACAGAUUUACUGGAUAAGAACAAAGGUCCAAUUUUGCAGUAAAACCUUUGAUGUGAUAAAGAAGCAUAAAGACAAGAUAUCACAAGUCUUAUUUAUAUAGCACUUGAGACUUGGUUUUACAUGCUGCUAAGGCUGGAAGAAAAGUGGCAAAAGUGGUUUUUCUGUUCAGAAGAUCUUGGGAUGGACCCUACAGUAUGACCUGCCUUCACCUUUGGACAUACAGGAGUGGAGAAAAAAACGAGGAAAGUUUCCAUAUUACUCCUUUCUCCUAAGAAAAAGAAGUGAAAAUGCUUUAUGCAGCUCCAUCUGACUUUAUGGCAUUUCACAUUCUAUAGCUUUGUUUUUUGUAAAAGGAUAAGUAACUUUUUCCCUUUGAUCCAAGAUGGGUUCUUGGGUAUUUGAUUUAUUUUUCUAGGCAAUAGGUGUAUGUUUGGCUGAAAAGGCUGGGACUGAGGUAACUUCCCCCAGUUGGAACUGAACUUUCUCAUCAGAGAAUGGGCCUCAGAAGAAAUGUUCCCAGACUGUGGUUAGGUCAGUGUAGAUUUAGAAGAAAUCCAGGGUCUGAAAAAACUCAAACAAGAAAAGUAGUUCCAGUAGGAAAUAAUGAAUUUCCUUUCUUUCUGUUAAAACUUAUAACUAUCUGAUGAACAGACUACAGGGUAAAGCCGUCCUUGCUUCCAAAUCAACAGGGGACCAUUGUAUGAAUUGCCAGGUGUUUACAUAAGAAGAAUGAAACCUUUAUAAGUUUUUGUAAGUAGAGAAAGAAUUUACAGCUGGUUAGAUGAAAUUAAGAACAAAUCAUCUUAGAUCAUCUCUGUGAUACAGGGAAUGUUUACCCAGGGCCAUGCAUGUUGUGCUGCUGAAAUCUUGGGGCAGAUUUACCAGAAUUUGAGAGUGAUAAAAAUAGCCAAAAACUGGAAAUAUUGAGCACUCUUAAUGAUUAGUUAAAUUGGUCAACCAAUUUGAAUUGGCAUAUGGAAGCGUUUUAGUAAAAUAAUUACAUAAUAUAGAUAAAAUAUAAUUUCCUUUAAUUGGGGGCAAUUACUGAGUGGUAAAGCAUAGUAGAAAUAACUUGGAUAAAGGUAACUUAAAUUUUUCUCUAAAUUCUCAGCCACUUCCUGAUGUUUUCUAUCAGUAUUUUGGAAUUGAUAAAGACAGAAUGGAACCUACAUACAUGAGUCCCGUUGGUAUGUUGGGAAUAUCAUAUGGAGAAUUUGUAUCUUCAGUUGUCUGUUACCCAUCCUCCCCAUGUUUUUUUGGGCAACUUUUUGGGUAGGAUUGUUUGGCAGGGGAUAGAGACCCUCUACUGUCAGCACCAGUGAAACCAUCUCUGGCCCACUUGUUUGAAUAAUUGUGUAUCAGACUCAUCUUCUCCAGUUGCUUUACAUAUUUUCAUUUCAAAGUUAAGAGAACCACUGUUUAAUGCUUUCAGGUUGUUUCUGCAUCUGCAUCUUCCAUGAUUUUCACCAGAUGGCAUUUAACAAAAUGGGUAUAUUCCAGUUGUAUUUGCCCAGUGUUUACUUAAUACAUCUACAUUGUUUUUCCUGGUCUAUUUUGGUCCACUUCAUGAUGGCAAAAGCUAUAAUUUUAGGCAGGACUAUGCCUCAAUCUGUAGCUGUGCCUACUUCCUUUCCUUUGCUCAUCCAUGUUAGCUGGCAGUUUUUCUUUUAAAAAGUUGAACAAAAAUGGGAUAUGUGCAAUAGAAAUAUAUAUAUGUAUAUUUUAAUACUUGUGGACAGAUGUUACAAGUUGUUUAAGAACAACAAAAUCACCAAUGUCUUCCAUUUUGAGAUGUGUAUAGUUUUGUAAGCAUUAGUGCUUGGUAGCAUAUUGUAGUGCCAUGUUAGGGGUUAGUGCAUGAGCCUAGUAAUAAUUUAAACUUCAGGAUGAAUUAUUGAUAAUAACUAAUAGUGUAAAAAGAGUGGAAAAUCUAGACCUUUUCUUUUCUCAUAAAUAUCUGAAUCCGUGAUAUUCUCCCUGGGGAAAAGAGAUUAAGGCCCAAAAGACUCAUUUAUGAAUAGAAAUAUGGGGUCACAAGGUGAGAUACUGUCUUUGAGGAUUUUUAAGCUUUCCAUGAGGUAGGAAACCAAGUUGCCUUUGUGUGUUAUGAAACCUUAUAUCAAAAUGAGGCCCCAUUUCAUGAUUCUGCUUUGCUCUCUUUGAGGUGAGACUGUUCUUACACUGUUUUCACAUUGUAUGUCUUGUAGGUUUAUUGUUUUCCCACUCUUUUUGCAUCAGAUUAUUUUACAUUUUGCAUGUCUUACUGAGAUGCUAUGUUAAUUGCUCAAGUGAGUGCUUUUCUAAUCGGAAGACCAUUUAUGUUUCCUAUCUGCAGUAUGCUACAUGUUAGCAGAAGAACACUGGUCAGUAGUUGAGUGUCCUAGAUUAAUUUCUCUUGAGCUUUUCCUGUUUCCAAAUUUGCUGAAUUGUGUAUUGAUGAGAUUCCAGACCUUUUCAUGAGAAUUGGCAAUGUAGCUAAAUGGAGACUACCUAGGUUGCCAUGUAUUAAUAUUAACCAACUCCCUGCUUGGUUAUAGUAAAUUGCCUCAGACAGCUUUCACUCUUUUCUCUUUUCCUUGUAGAAAUAAAAGUUGUUUUGUUCUGAAAGCAUAGCUUUCUGUAGAAAAGAAAUUCCUACCUCUAAAAGCUUUCUUGAGAACUUGGAAAUGGCAGUUUUCUGGGGUGAUUUUUAAAUCUCAGUAUUAGGAGAGUCCAGGAUUUAUUGCCACAGAUUCUAUAGUUAGUAUGAUAGGAAAUGCAAAACUUUUUUAAUGUGGUGUGUCUUGUGUGCAGAAGCAGGCUUAAAGAAAUUGACUCUUGGGCAGCAAAUCUCGAGGGACCCAGGCUUAGAUUCUUAUAGUGUACUUAAAGUAGUUGUACUCCUGGUUCAAUUAGUUUAGUGCCUGGGAGAAUCCACUUCUGAAAAGCAUUUAAACAUUUAAAAAAAUACCUCUGAAAAGGUAAUGAAUGCAAAAUAGCACAGUAUAUAGGAAAGAAUAUUUCCUAUUGCAAAAAAAAAAAAAGCCAUAAAACAAACAAUUUUCAAGAGGUAGAAUUUCAGUAGCAAUAACAGUUUUGCAUGUAUACUAAGUUGCGUUAGCAGGGUUGUACAGUAGAAUACUACUUGAGUUUGAGGCUCUGUGAUAACAGAAUUCCAUGAAAGGAAAAAGAUGUUGUAGGUAAAGAGUAUGUAAAAGGUACUUAAAAAAAAAAACAAAACUAUGAAUGUAUAUGAGUAUAUCAUUAUGUGAGAAAUAGCAACGUUUGUGCAAGUUAAAGGUUAAAGACCCUACUUGUUUGCUAGAGCAGAGGGUUAGAGCCAUUUAAGCUUUUCUGAUGCUUAACCUGGAAACGUACUCCUACUGAGUACCCCCAGUGAAGCUCAUCGUGUGGGGAUUUUGCUUAUGUUUCUUUUAACAACAGGCAUUUAUAAAAUGGCAUACUUUUUGCUUUGUCACCUCAUCUUUCUCCAUUAGUUUCCUGGGUACAUUUUUUAGAGAAAAGUUUGCUGUGUGUAUAUAUUUAGAGUUUAAAAAGACAGACUAUACCUGGCUUUUCCUCAUGCCUGUUAGUGUAGGGGCGUUAGGAUUUAAAGGUAUAAAGCAAAAGGACUGAAGGGAAUGGCCAGAGACAGUACACUGUCUAAUGUAGAUGUGCCAAGGCCUGUGGCCUGUGACUGCUUAUUUUAACAAGAACCCAGCAAACUAGUUUCUUGAUCUGAAUCAUACAGCUCUCACAUCAGGAUGUAAUAACAGAAUGAGGGUGACUUCUUACUCCCUUUUACCUCAUGUUCAUCUUGGCCAUUUAGCACCUUGAAGAUCCCUGAAAGGAUUGUGACUGUGUUCCCUUGUUUUCCCAGGGGAAGAAACUGAAAGAUGAGUGGAUCUAAGAAAAUAGUGCCUCUUGAAUAUUAAAUUCUUAAAUGGCAACUCCAAAGGAUAGAGAGAAGGCUAUAUUAAAUUGAUUAUAGCUCCUCUUUAAAUGUCCUAUGUCUUCAGUUUUGUGUUAGAGACAUUGGAAUAACCAAGCAAUAUUCAAACAUCUGCACGAUCAUGAGGACACCACUGCAUAUUACAGUGAUGUCAGUAACAGUUUAGUUACUUAGAACAAUUAAAGAUUACCCUUAAUAGCAACAUUCAUAGUUUUAAAUGCUCAAAUGUGCUACAAGUUUUUGUAGUCUCAAAGUAUGGUUGAUACUUUUCAAUGUUGUUUUGGUCUCAUGUUUACUCUUUGUGUACCUGUGAUAUGCAAAAUAUGAAGAGACCCUUGGCCUCCAGGAGUUUACAUUCUCAUGGUGCUGCUGGUGCAAGCAAAUUGCUUCUAGUUUAUUCAGAACAUUGCUUGGCUGUUAAUUAUACCAUGUUUGGAAGGAUUCCUUGGCCAAUAGUUUUCAAAAGCAGAGGGCUAUGCUAAACUUCAGGGCAUUGAUUUUUGAGUUUACAUUGUAUUAGCUCUGCUGUUCAUGAACUCCUUUUCCCCAGGGAGCUGUGCAGGUAAUGCUUAUUAAUGUGAAUCAAACUAUUCUGCCUAAGAGCAUCUUCAUCAUCUCUAUACCACCUAUGCUCUUGUAUGCCAUCACUGUCAGUAAAUGGCCAAGAAAACUCACUGCUCCAGAGGACAUCUCUCAGUACUCUAUUUUCCCAAAUUUUUUACAUCAUUCUCUACCCAAAAGGACCAGAAUUUGCAAUUAAUCCUUUUAUAAGUGAAUAGUGGUCCUAAUUUUAACCUUUUUGUGUGUGACUUUUGUACCUCUGUUCUGAAGCAGCAUUGUGAUAGAUGUGGAGCACCUGCCUACAUUUCUAAGCAAUCACUUUAUUAACCCACAUUUUCAGUUGAAACUUUGCAUGUAAUUUCCUCUACUUCCUCUGAGUCAAGGGGUUUACUCUGCAUGUUUAUUAAAAGUGGGUCUGGAUGGAAGUGCAAGCAAUAGUGGCAGGCCCAUAACUCUUAUUUUAGAGUAUAAUAUUCUAAUGCAUGGUUGAAAAUGUCCAGUGUUAUGUGGCUACUAGUAAUUAGAUAUAUGCAUUUAUUAAUAAUGAAGCAAUAGAGACUUAAACCACUAGCUUGAAUUUAUUGUUUGGAUUAUUUUCAUUUUCUAAGAUUAUCUUACUUCCAUUGAAAAUGGAAGCUAGAAGAUAAACAGGGGCAACCAUAAGACAUUCAAACUGUCAGGAAUAGAGCAUAACAGUGCUCACCCUCUAACCUCUUGCCUGGUUCCAUUAGUCCCCAAGCAUGUUUAAAACAAAAGGCACAAACUAAGCAUGUUCAAAUAAAUAAAGAAGCUGCUAUGGCUGUAAUAGAAAGGUGCAGAGUUUCAGAAAGAGUAUGGAAUACCAGUGUGGAAGAUGUAGAGUAACUAGGGAUGGGGUUUGUCUGAUACAAUUUAUGUGGCUUAAGUUUGGAUCUCUUAAGACUAGAAUCUUGGAAGUGAAUAGAGGCAACAUGGACAUAUUUCAGAUGUUCCAGGAUUUUCAGGUAACUAGGUGACUCUUUGGAUGGUACUGCUUUACCCAACCAUAAAAGAUCCUUCCAGCAAAGGAGCCCGUUCCAUUUUAUGGAAAUAGUCCUUAAAAUAUAGAUACAUCUGUGGUUUGGUUUUUCUGUUGUUACUGUAUUUAAGUUUUUAAAGAAAUUUUUUUAUAGCCAGAGUUUUAUCCUUGAUGUUUUGGUUAGACUUCAUAAUUUGUUGCCUAAAGCUUUUGAUGCCAGGUAGACAGGAGCAAGUUUUCCCAUUUUGUAAAAAAGAAAAACCUUGCUGUUUAUUUUCUUACUUGAUGAAGAAAAUAGAUCAGUUCAUUAUAAUAGCUUAAAAUUUUUUGAGAUGAUUCCUGACUUUGAAAUAACCCAUGUAAGUACAUGUGA